AUUGAACGCUGGCGGCAUGCUUUACACAUGCAAGUCGAACGGUAACAGGGUGCUUGCACCGCUGACGAGUGGCGAACGGGUGAGUAAUGCGUCGGAACGUGCCGAGUAGUGGGGGAUAACGCAGUGAAAGUUGUGCUAAUACCGCAUACGUACUGAGGUAGAAAGUGGGGGACCUUCGGGCCUCACGCUAUUCGAGCGGCCGACGUCUGAUUAGCUAGUAGGUGAGGUAAAGGCUCACCUAGGCGACGAUCAGUAGCGGGUCUGAGAGGAUGGGCCGCCACACUGGGACUGAGACACGGCCCAGACUCCUACGGGAGGCAGCAGUGGGGAAUUUUGGACAAUGGGCGAAAGCCUGAUCCAGCCAUGCCGCGUGUCUGAAGAAGGCCUUCGGGUUGUAAAGUACUUUUGUCAGGGAGGAAAUCCCUAGUGCUAAUAACACUGGGGGAUGACAGUACCUGAAGAAUAAGCACCGGCUAACUACGUGCCAGCCGCCGCCGUAA
rnacentral:rRNA from 1 species